rnacentral:rRNA from 1 species
UACGGCGAGUGAACCGGGAAGAGCUCAAAUUUGAAAUCUGGCGUCCUCAGGGCGUCCGAGUUGUAAUCUAUAGAGGCGUUUUCCGUGCCGGACCGUGUCCAAGUUCCUUGGAACAGGAUAUCAAAGAGGGUGACAAUCCCGUACUUGACACGAUGACCGGUGCUCUGUGAUACGUCUUCUACGAGUCGAGUUGUUUGGGAAUGCAGCUCAAAAUGGGUGGUGAGUUCCAUCUAAAGCUAAAUAUUGGCGAGAGACCGAUAGCGAACAAGUACCGUGAGGGAAAGAUGAAAAGCACUUUGGAAAGAGAGUUAAACAGUACGUGAAAUUGUUGAAAGGGAAACGAUUGAAGUCAGUCGUGACUGAGAGGCUCAGCCGGUUCUGCCGGUGUAUUCCCCUCAGUCGGGUCAACAUCAGUUUUGUCCGGUGGAAAAGGGCGGUAGGAACGUGGCACCUCCGGGUGUGUUAUAGCCUGCCGUCGCAUACAUCGGGUGAGACUGAGGAAUGCAGCUCGCCUUUAUGGCCGGGGUUCGCCCACGUCCGAGCUUAGGAUGUUGACAUAAUGGCUUUAAACGACCCGU